AAUCAACGCUGGCGGCGCGCUUAACACAUGCAAGUCGAGCGAGAAAGGGGAGCAAUCCCUGAGUACAGCGGCGUACGGGUGAGUAACACGUGGAUGAUCUACCUGAGAGUGGGGAAUAACUUUGGGAAACCGGAGCUAAUACCGCAUAAGCCUGAGAAGGGAAAGCCGCAAGGCGCUCACAGAGGAGUCCGCGGCCGAUUAGCUAGUUGGUGAGGUAACGGCUCACCAAGGCGGGGAGUCGGUAGCCGGCCUGAGAGGGCACACGGCCACACUGGCACUGAAACACGGGCCAGACUCCUACGGGAGGCAGCAGUGGGGAAUCUUGCACAAUGGGGGCAACCCUGAUGCAGCGACGCCGCGUGAGCGAUGAAGCCC
rnacentral:rRNA from 1 species